rnacentral:rRNA from 1 species
AUACAGAGGUUGCGAGCGUUAAUCGGAAUUACUGGGCGUAAAGCGCGCGUAGGCGGCUUGGUCAGUCGGAUGUGAAAGCCCCGGGCUCAACCUGGGAAUGGCGUUCGAUACUGCCAGGCUAGAGUAUGGGAGAGGGAAGUGGAAUUUCCGGUGUAGCGGUGAAAUGCGUAGAUAUCGGAAGGAACACCAGUGGCGAAGGCGACUUCCUGGCCCAAUACUGACGCUGAGGUGCGAAAGCGUGGGGAGCGAACAGGAUUAGAAACCCUAGUAGUCC